UACAGAGGUGGCAAGCGUUGUUCGGAAUUACUGGGCGUAAGGGCGCGUAGGCGGUUCGUUAAGUCCUGUGUGAAAUCCCCCGGCUCAACUGGGGAACUGCACAGGAACUAGCGGGCUUGAGUUCGGGAGAGGUGAGUGGAACUGCGAGUGUAGAGGUGAAAUUCGUAGAUAUUCGCAAGAACACCAGUGGCGAAGGCGGCUCACUGGCCCGAUACUGACGCUGAGGCACGAAAGCGUGGGGAGCAAACAGG
rnacentral:rRNA from 1 species